AGCUCCGUUGGCCUAGUGGUUAGAGCGUCAGCCUCGGAUGCGGGAGUUCGCGGGUUAGAACCCCUGCCGAGUAA